UACGGAGGGGGCUAGCGUUGUUCGGAAUUACUGGGCGUAAAGCGCACGUAGGCGGCUAUUCAAGUCAGGGGUGAAAGCCCGGGGCUCAACCCCGGAAUUGCCCUUGAAACUAGAUAGCUAGAAUCUGGGAGAGGUGAGUGGAAUUCCGAGUGUAGAGGUGAAAUUCGUAGAUAUUCGGAAGAACACCAGUGGCGAAGGCGGCUCACUGGACCAGAAUUGACGCUGAGGUGCGAAAGCGUGGGGAGCAAACAGG
rnacentral:rRNA from 1 species